rnacentral:rRNA from 1 species
GACGAACGCUGGCGGCGUGCUUAACACAUGCAAGUCGAACGGUAAGGCCCUUCGGGGUACACGAGUGGCGAACGGGUGAGUAACACGUGGGUGAUCUGCCCUGCACUUCGGGAUAAGCCGGGGAAAGUGGGUCUAAUACCGGAUAGGACCACUGCCUGCAUGGGUGGUGGUGGAAAGAUUUUGCGGUGUGGGAUGGGCCCGCGGCCUAUCAGCUUGUUGGUGGGGUGUUGGCCUACCAAGGCGACGACGGGUAGGCGGCCUGAGAGGGUGACCGGCCACACUGGGACUGAGGUACGGCCCAGCCUCCUACGGGAGGCAGCAGUGGGGAAUAUUGCACAAUGGGCGCAAGCCUGAUGCAGCGACGCCGCGUGAGGGAUGACGGCCUUCGGGUUGUAAACCUCUUUCAGCACCGACGAAGCGCAAGUGACGGUAGGUGCAGAGGAAGGACCGGCCAACUACGUGCCAGCCGCCGCCGUAA